rnacentral:rRNA from 1 species
UACAGAGGGGGCAAGCGUUGUUCGGAAUUACUGGGCGUAAAGGGCGCGUAGGCGGCCUUCUAAGUCGAACGUGAAAUCCCCGGGCUCAACCCGGGAACUGCGUCCGAUACUGGAAGGCUUGAAUCCGGGAGAGGGAUGUGGAAUUCCAGGUGUAGCGGCGAAAUGCGUAGAUAUCUGGAGGAACACCGGUGGCGAAGGCGACAUCCUGGACCGGUAUUGACGCUGAGGCGCGAAAGCCAGGGGAGCAGACGGG